GUUUGGGUUUGGGUCUGCUUUCACUCCCUCAUGCACACAGUCGAAUUUCCCUUCUCACACUCGGACGACCAAGCACGCAUGAUACCGAAAUCCAACGCUUGGAUUUCCAACUUUUGACAUGAAUUAGAUAUAUUUGAGUAGGCACCCAUAGAUUCCUAGGCUUGAAUUAUCACAGUUGUCAAUGCAUUGCGUGAGCACGCGGAUGUAGUGCCCUUCCUUACCAAUCACUCUCUCAAUUAUCUGCUGGAACCGAAUCCCGAGGACCGAUUUCAGUUUUCCACGACUGACAUCUAUGAAAUUCUGGGAUAUCCUCGGGCUUUUGUUCCCAACAUAGGGUUUGAGGAACCAGCUAGAUUCAACAUAUCCUUCUGAGAAGGUGAUGGCCCUCUCGACUAAUGUGUUUAUAGGACAAGUUUUUUUCGUCGUGCUACACUUCCUCGUUCCAUGAGACUUCUUGAUAUGUUGAUCAAGGAGAAUUCUAUUUCUGUAGGCUUUGAAUAGAAGUGACGUGGUCCUUUCUUAGAGGUGCUUUACGCCAUGCAUAGUAAUCAGUGGUUCGAUAUAGGUGAGGCAAUCAUGCAAUAGAUGAUGAAGAUUACAAACAAUUUCGAGAGUCAGCAAAUGAAUCAAUCACUUCAUUUUCCUUGGCUCAUUACCUGCUUAUUGCAACAUCAUAACUAUCAUUUUGAGAGAACGACCGAACCUCGAUUUCCCUAUGGCCACUUUCUCCAUGACUUCUUGGAAUCUGAGUAGGGCUCAUCUAGACAAGACUCCUGCUAGAGGAGAAGCCCCAGGUUCUGCGUCUCAAGGGAGCUCCAAUGCACCUACUAUGCCCGAUCGUUUCGAGUGUAUGGAGACACAAUUUCGUGCUAUCACUAAUGAGUAGGCGAGUUGAGUUGGUAUGGAGUCACUUAUAGCAUUCUUGGGAUGUCCACCUCCGAACGCGCCAUCUCAGUCUUGAUUUAUUAUCAGGUUGUGUUACCCCAUCUUUUGUUGAUUUCUUAUUAUUUUAUCUUUUGUCUCAUUGGAGACACUACUGUAUUUGAGUGUGGGGGAAGGGACAUGAGACAUGUAUUUUGAUAUUUUGAUUUCUUUUGGACAUGUACUCAGAUCUAUUGCAUUAGUAUAUUAUUGUGUUUUGUUAGAAAAAA